rnacentral:rRNA from 1 species
UGGGGAAUUUUGGACAAUGGGGGAAACCCUGAUCCAGCCAUCCCGCGUGUGCGAUGAAGGCCUUCGGGUUGUAAAGCACUUUUGGCAGGAAAGAAACGUCGCGGGUUAAUACCCCGCGAAACUGACGGUACCUGCAGAAUAAGCACCGGCUAACUACGUGCCAGCAGCCGCGGUAAUACGUAGGGUGCAAGCGUUAAUCGGAAUUACUGGGCGUAAAGCGUGCGCAGGCGGUUCGGAAAGAAAGAUGUGAAAUCCCAGAGCUUAACUUUGGAACUGCAUUUUUAACUACCGGGCUAGAGUGUGUCAGAGGGAGGUGGAAUUCCGCGUGUAGCAGUGAAAUGCGUAGAUAUGCGGAGGAACACCGAUGGCGAAGGCAGCCUCCUGGGAUAACACUACGCUCAUGCACGAAAGCGUGGGGAGCAAACAGGAUUAGAUACCCUGGUAGUCCACGCCCUAAACGAUGUCAACUAGCUGUUGGGGCCUUCGGGCCUUGGUAGGCGCAGCUAACGCGUGAAGUUGACCGCCUGGGGAGUACGGUCGGCAAGAUUAAAACUCAAAU